AUUGAACGCUGGCGGCAGGCCUAACACAUGCAAGUCGAGCGGAUGAAGGGAGCUUGCUCCUGGAUUCAGCGGCGGACGGGUGAGUAAUGCCUAGGAAUCUGCCUGGUAGUGGGGGAUAACGUCCGGAAACGGGCGCUAAUACCGCAUACGUCCUGAGGGAGAAAGUGGGGGAUCUUCGGACCUCACGCUAUCAGAUGAGCCUAGGUCGGAUUAGCUAGUUGGUGGGGUAAAGGCCUACCAAGGCGACGAUCCGUAACUGGUCUGGGAGGAUGAUCAGUCACACUGGAACUGAGACACGGUCCAGACUCCUACGGGAGGCAGCAGUGGGGAAUAUUGGACAAUGGGCGAAAGCCUGACCCAGCCAUGCCGCGUGUGUGAAGAAGGUCUUCGGAUUGUAAAGCACUUUAAGUUGGGAGGAAGGGCAGUAAGUUAAUACCUUGCUGUUUUGACGUUACCAACAGAAUAAGCACCGGCUAACUUCGUG
rnacentral:rRNA from 1 species